GAUGAACGCUGGCUGCAGGCUUAACACAUGCAAGUCGAGCGGAAACGGCAUUCAGUGCUUUCACUGAAUGGACGUCGACCGGCGCACGGGUGAGUAACGCUUAUCCAUCCUUCCCGUUACUGCGGGAUAACCUGCCGAAUGGCAGACUAAUACCGCAUCUUCUUCGAUGACGUCAUCCGAUUCGCAGCGAAGAUCAGUCUGUAAUGGAGGGGGAUGCGUCUGAUUAGCUAGUUGGCGGGGCGACGGCCCACCAAGGCGACGAUCAGUAGGGGUUCUGAGAGGAAGCUCCCCGAGAUUGGAACGGCGACACGGUCCAAACGACUACGGGAGGCAGCAGUGAGGAAUAUUGGUCAAUGGGCGGGAGCCUGAACCAACCAAGGAGCGUGCAGGAUGACGGCCCUACGGGUUGUAAUCUGCUUUUAUGCGGGGAUAAAGUGAGGGACGCGUCCCUUUUUGAAGGUACCGCAUGAAUAAGGACCGGCUAACUACGUG
rnacentral:rRNA from 1 species